UACGGAAGGCAGCAGUGGGGAAUAUUGCACAAUGGGCGAAAGCCUGAUGCAGCUAUGCCGCGUGUAUGAAGAAGGCCUUAGGGUUGUAAAGUACUUUCAUCGGGGAGGAAAAACAAAACUAAUAAUUUUAUUUCUUGACGUUACCCGAAAAAGAAGCACCGGCUAACUCCGUGCCAGCAGCCGCGGUAAUACGGAGGGUGCUAGCGUUAAUCAGAAUUACUGGGCGUAAAGAGCACGUAGGUGGUUUUUUUAAGUCAGAUGUGAAAUCCCUGGGCUUAACCUGGAACUGCAUUUUGAAACUGAAAUACUAGAGUAUCGUAGAGGGAGGUAGAAUUCUAGGUGUAGCGGUGAAAUGCGUAGAUAUCUGGAGGAAUACCUGUGGCGAAAGCGGCCUCCUAAACGAAUACUGACACUGAGGUGCGAAAGCGUUGGGGAGCAAACAGGGAUUAGAUACC
rnacentral:rRNA from 1 species